UACGUAGGGUGCGAGCGUUGUCCGGAAUUAUUGGGCGUAAAGAGCUCGUAGGCGGUUUGUCGCGUCUGCUGUGAAAACUCGGGGCUUAACCCCGGGCCUGCAGUGGGUACGGGCAGACUAGAGUGCGGUAGGGGAGACUGGAAUUCCUGGUGUAGCGGUGAAAUGCGCAGAUAUCAGGAGGAACACCGGUGGCGAAGGCGGUUCUCUGGGCAUGAUCUGACGCUGAGGAGCGAAAGUGUGGGGGAGCGAACAGG
rnacentral:rRNA from 1 species